rnacentral:rRNA from 1 species
GACGAACCGUGCGAACGUUGUUCGGAAUCACUGGGCUUAAAGGGCGCGUAGGCGGGCUGUCGCGUCUGGGGUGAAAUCCUCCGGCUCAACCGGGGACGGGCCUCGGGUACGGACGGCCUCGAGGGGGGUAGGGGCGUGCGGAACUGUGGGUGGAGCGGUGAAAUGCGUUGAUAUCCACAGGAACUCCGGUGGCGAAGGCGGCACGCUGGACCCUCUCUGACGCUGAGGCGCGAAAGCCAGGGGAGCGAACGGG